AAGAAAAAUAUAUUUCGUUUAGUAAGACAAUAAGCGAUUAUUUUCAACUUCAAUUUAUAGAUUCAUAUCGAUUUCUGCAAAAGAGUUUGUAUCAACUUACAACCACAUUGACUUUACCUGAUUUUGCAAAUACAUUAAAUAUCUUUAAAUCGUUGGAGCUGGUCACACGGAUAUCUGUUUUCCCAUACGAAUACGUAGACAGUUGGGAAAAACUCCAAGAAAUACAGCUGCCGGUACGCGAAAAUUUUUACAGUUCCAUUACGAAAUCUACAAUAUCUGAAGAGGACUGUGAACAUGCAAAAAAAAUGUGGCAACACUUUUAAUGCAAAACUCUCGGCGAUUAUAGUGAAAAUACUUGCUGACAUAUUUGAAAAGUUUCGCAUGGAGAUUUGAAAAAUUAUUCCCUGGAUCCCACUCAUUAUUACUCAUGUCGAGCCCUGUCAUUUGACGCUAUAUUAAAAUACACUGAUAUCCACAUUGAAUUGAUAACAGACCGAGAUAUGUUAUUAAUGUUUGAAUUGGGAUAUGUGGAGGUUUGACACAAGUCAAUCAGCGGUAUGCUCGAGCUAAUCACCCAGACAUCGCCGACUACAAUCCCAAUAUUCUACAUAAAUAUCUGCAAUACCUAGAUGCUACAAUUUUAUAUGGAACAGUUUUUUUUUUUUUUUUAUUAAAACCGAUGCCUAUUGGAAAUUUUGAAUGAUCAAUUAUGAAAAAAUAUCUGUUUGAAUACUUCGACACUUCCAACUAUCUCAUCGAUCAUCCAUGCUGCAAAUGUAGUCAAGGUGGCGAUCGCACUCAGCCGUAAAGGCAAUACAGCGAUAAGCACGGGUAAAAGUUUUUAUCUACAAACAUCCGGUUGUAAGACAUACAAAAAGUACUAAAUUCGACGGCGGAGAAAGGAUAAAAACAAAAACGAUCGGCACAAAAAAUUAAUUUUGCAGCUACCCGAUCGUGCCUUGUAUGAUGUUGACAUUGUAAAUUUCGGUAACUGUAUUCUUGAUUGUAAAGUGUUUCGUGACGUAUUUUGUCAUGACACGUUACCGCAAUCAGGACCUCAAAUAACCGAAAUGACUAUAGUGAAUUUGGACCUUUUCACUUACCCUUGCACACAUUGGGUAGCUUAUAGUAAACGUGGUAAAUGCGUUACGUAAUUUGAUAGUUUUGGUAAUUUAUGACCACCGUUGGAACUGCAACGAUACUUUAAAGGAUGCACAAUCGUGCACAAUUAUAGUAGAUAUCAAAACUCCAACGAAAUAAAUUGUGUUUAAAAUUUUUAACAAAAUAACAAUUCUGGACAGCAAGAAAUGGCUCCUGUUAGAAUUCCAACACUGGGACGUUGA